CGCCGCGUAGCGCAGUGGUCGGCACGUUGGACUUUGGCCUCCUAAGACUGAGGUUGCGGGUUCGUGCCCCGUGGGGGUCG